UACCCACCACCACACAAACUGAAGAGUUCAGCAUUGUAUAACUGCAAGAUUGUUGAUUAUGUGACUGUCAUACAUGCUCGUCUCAUCGUGGCGGCUUCGUGCCAGAUUGAAUGCGGCUACUACGUAUUCGAAAAUCGGGAGGACGGUGUGAAAUGCUUGCUGGAGUACAGUCGUACAUCGAAGACCAAGAAAUUCAGAAAAAGAACGGGAGUGUACAGAACUGGCGUUUGCAGGAACGGUUACUGCACGCUUGGGAAGAAUUCGAUGAACAUUACAACUGACGACUGAGAAGUGCGCAGGCCGUUUGUUUCGAGGGCAAAAUGCGGGAGUUUAAAAAAUAAACAGAGUGAUGCUCUGCUAAACCCGCAGUACAAGAGAGACAAGGGGCUCAAUUUUAACUAGAAUCUAAGUAAA